UGAAUUUGGUGCUGGGUGGCGAGGUGGUGUUGGGGGAAGAGCUAGGCUAAGGAGAGCUUCCUCUUGCUCUGCCCCUUCCCAUCUCAAAUGGCCGCUUCCUGGGGAGAUGGGUUCGUUGGGAGGCUAACUACAACGUUACAGUGAGGACGAGGAAUCCUCUUUAGUCCCGUAGGUAUUUGCUGCCAGGCCGCAGCGUUGAUUUCAGAAAUUGUAUUUAAAAAAGGAAAAAGAAAGGAAAUCCGUAUUCUUUAACAUACUCUCUUUUCUCGGAGAGUAGAUGGAGGAGCUUCAGCAGUGCCCUUCCUCCCGAAAGGCUUCCCAGUGUCUGCUCAGACACUGAGGAGGAAAAUAGAGGAGAGCCACCCGAUAUAAAUAAAGGCAAGAAGGGGUUAUGGAUUAAGGGAAAACCACUACUUCAAAAAUUGGUGCUCUCUACAAACCGGUUAAGGGUUUGGGACCUGCAGGUGCUGCCUCCACCUGUGUGCGUUGCAGUCGUGCCUGUUGCCACUGAGCAAAACAGGGAGAGCUGCUUUGUCGAACGCGGCGUGUUAAAGCACGUGCCACUGCCUGGAAGAAAAGCACGGACUUCCCUCGUGUGGGACUUCUUCCCUAGCCAUGUGUGGUUUACCUGAUGGUUUCCCAUAAGCUGUGAAUGUUUAAAAGAAAAAAACCAACAAAACCCAAGACCAACGUUGAGAGUGGUGAGGCAGAUCCUCACCUGGGGACUCAGAAUCAGCGGUGACAUCACCAUGCGAAGCAUUGUGUGCGCUUCGGGUCGGGGCUGCUGCGAGCCUCGCAGCGGGGAGGGAGAGCGGAUGCGGGGUGCCUCUGUGUCAGCCCUCUGCCCUGGUGGCUUCGUGAGCACUGAGAGUUUGACUCCUGUGUUGCCAGCUUUCGCUUCCGCACCUGCGGUGUGGCAGAGCCAGCGAGCUGCUUCCUCAGCUGGAGGAGGAAGAGGAGUGACCUCAACGUUGCCGAGCUUUGGAGAAAGUGAAGCAGAGAAAACCACACAUAACCACUGAUAGCUGGACCCCAAACUGCCACAGACUGACAGUGAUGCCCACUGGAUAUCUCCUGAGACCCUGCUGCCUUCUGCCUGCUCCAGCAGAAGUCCCGUUUGAAUUAGCCAGCAGGUCCCUCUGAGUGGCUUUGCUAAAACUCCCGCCGUAGGAAGUAUCCUACGGGAGCCAAGUUGCUAAACUGAUGGGUGGGUUUCCCUUAACCCCCUCACCCCUGACUUCCCAGCUCCUGACGACACUGCCAACGUGUGCAGUGUCACCGUGUGCCAACUAGGUGCCAGCUGCCAUGGUUUGUAUAUUGUAAAAGGAGUGAUUUGGGACUCGUGAGCACUGAGAACAGGUUAGCAAUUGCUUAAGAGCUUUACUUGUGUCGCUCUGGGGCAGGGAGAUGGGUGAAACAUCUUAGGCUUGAAAGUGAUUCCCUGCAGAGUGACGUGCUCAGAUCUGCACAACAGAUCUGUCGUUCUGGUCACCUUAUUAGAUCCCUGCUUGAGAGGGUGCUUGCAAGAAUCGAUUCCUCUUCACCUUGAU